GGGGUUACAGCCUUGCUGAAUUAUUCACCCUUGUCUUUUGCGUACUUCUUGUUUCCUUGGUGGGUUCGCCCACCACUAGGACAAACAUAAACCUUUUGUAAUUGCAAUCAGCGUCAGUAACAAAUUAAUAAUUACAACUUUCAACAACGGAUCUCUUGGUUCUGGCAUCGAUGAAGAACGCAGCGAAAUGCGAUAAGUAGUGUGAAUUGCAGAAUUCAGUGAAUCAUCGAAUCUUUGAACGCACAUUGCGCCCUUUGGUAUUCCAAAGGGCAUGCCUGUUCGAGCGUCAUUUGUACCCUCAAGCUUUGCUUGGUGUUGGGCGUCUUGUCUCUAGCUUUGCUGGAGACUCGCCUUAAAGUAAUUGGCAGCCGGCCUACUGGUUUCGGAGCGCAGCACAAGUCGCACUCUCUAUCAGCAAAGGUCUAGCAUCCAUUAAGCCUUUUUUCAACUUUUGACCUCGGAUCAGGUAGGGAUACCCGCUGAACUUAAGCAUAUCA
rnacentral:rRNA from 1 species